rnacentral:lncRNA from 12 species
CGAUGAGCUUUUUAUUUUCUCUCCCCUGUCCUGUCGUGGAAGGUAGUGACAGAGCAGCUUUGGUGGGCACCUGACAUCCAGCAGGGUCAACCAACUAAAAACUACUAAAAAGCCCUUUUAUAUCCCCUACUUGGGCCUGAUUUGCUGUAUUUAUCCCUUUCCCUCUGUGCACAGGUACUCAUGCAAUCCUCCUUUGUUCCACUCUGAAAAUGCACAAUCCACUCUCAGAAAACUCAGCAGAACAAUCAAAAACACCAAUAAAUGGUGCCACUGAAAGACAGGUCCUACACCCGUUCAUGGUUAGAGCAUUCGCGGCUCCCGACAUUAUAGGGCACGACAUUAGCCUGUUUUUGUGCCUUCAUGUCAAUCUGAUUCCACCAAGACAUAAGAGGAUUUUCAUUCAUGAAGAACAAAGAAGCAAUCAAAUUUUGCACUAGAGCUUGCUUUCUUGCCAUUUGAGGAGAGGGGACGCAAAGUAAAUUUCAAUAAUUUUGAACUCUAUCAUUUAGUUGCCAAGGACAUCGCUGUACCCGACUGUACUGUCUUUAACAGCCCCGAGAGGUUCAAACACUGCAGGAAGGCAGAGAUGGCAGAGCGGUAAAGAGGGCUGACUUUCCUUGAGUUUAUAAUCUCUGGUAAUACCUUUGUCUUCUUGAAUAGGUAACAGCUCUGUCUGGAAUAACAUUUGGUGGAUUUGGAAUAAUACAGAACAUUACCUACUGGCAGAUUUCUGCAGUCUAAUCAAGGAAAUCCCGGUUUGUG